CGAACGGGAUCCCAUAGAUUCGUCUAAGGGUGAGAGUGGCGAACGGGUGAGUAACACGUUGGUGACCUGCCCCAGAGAGGGGGACAACCAGUGGAAACGCUGGCUAAUACCCCGGAUGUCAAGGUUUUUAGAAACCCUUGACUGAAGCUCCGGCGCUCUGGGAGGGGCCUGCGGUCCAUCAGCUUGUUGGUAGGGUAACGGCCUACCAAGGCGAAGACGGAUAGGGGGCGUGAGAGCGUGACCCCCCACACUGGUACUGACACACGGACCAGAUACCUGCGGGUAGCAGCAGCAAGGAAUAUUGCCCAAUGGACGAAAGUCUGAGGCAGCAACGCCGCGUGAAGGAAGAAGGCUUUCGGGUUGUAAACUUCUUUUUUGGGGGAAGAGAAAGGACGGUACCCCAAGAAUAAGAUCCGGCUAACUACGUGCCAGCAGCCGCGGUAAAACGUAGGGAUCGAGCGUUAUCCGGAUUUACUGGGCGCAAAGCGCGUGCAGGCGGUUUUCUAAGUCGGACGUGAAAGCUCCUGGCCCAACUGGGAGAGGCCGUUCGAAACUGGAAGACUUGAGGAUGGUAGAGGUAAGUGGAAUUCCCGGUGUAGUGGUGAAAUGCGUAGAUAUCGGGAGGAACACCAGUGGCGAAGGCGGCUUACUGGGCCAUUCCUGACGCUGAGACGCGAAAGCUAGGGGAGAGAACGGGAUUAGAAACCCCGGUAUUCCUAGCCGUAAACGAUGUCAACUAGGUGUAGGGGGUAUCCAACCCCCCUGUGCUGUAGCUAACGCGUUAAGUUGACCGCCUGGGGACUACGGCCGCAAGGCUAAAACUCAAAGGAAUUGACGGGGACCCGCACAAGCAGCGGAGCGUGUGGUUUAAUUCGAGCUACGCGAAGAACCUUACCAGGGUUUGACAUGUACGUGGUAGGAAGGUGUAAGCCGACUGACCCUUCGGGGAGCGUACACAGGUGCUGCAUGGCUGUCGUCAGCUCGUGCCGUGAGGUGUUAGGUUAAGUCCUGUAACGAGCGCAACCCUCGUCGUUAGUUAUACGUGUCUAACGAGACUGCCGGUGAUAAGCCGGAGGAAGGUGGGGAUGACGUCAAGUCAGCAUGGCCUUUAUAUCCUGGGCUACACACACGCUACAAUGGCCGGUACAAUGGGUAGCCAAGCCGCGAGGCGGAGCCAAUCCUUCAAAGCCGGUCUCAGUUCGGAUUGUAGGCUGCAACUCGCCUGCAUGAAGUCGGAGUUGCUAGUAAACGCGCGUCAGCAACAGUGCGUUGAAUACGUUCCCGGGUCUUGUACACACCGCCCGUCACGUCAUGGAAGUUGGCAACGCCUGAAGUCAGUGAGCUAACCCUAACGGGAGGCAGCUGCCCAAGGCGGGGUCGGUAACUGGGACGAAGUCGUAACAAGGUA
rnacentral:rRNA from 1 species